rnacentral:rRNA from 1 species
UUUUUAUGAGAGUUUGAUCCUGGCUCAGGACGAACGCUGGCGGCGUGCCUAAUACAUGCAAGUCGAACGCUUCUUUUUCCACCGGAGCUUGCUCCACCGGAAAAAGAGGAGUGGCGAACGGGUGAGUAACACGUGGGUAACCUGCCCAUCAGAAGGGGAUAACACUUGGAAACAGGUGCUAAUACCGUAUAACAAUCGAAACCGCAUGGUUUUGAUUUGAAAGGCGCUUUCGGGUGUCGCUGAUGGAUGGACCCGCGGUGCAUUAGCUAGUUGGUGAGGUAACGGCUCACCAAGGCGACGAUGCAUAGCCGACCUGAGAGGGUGAUCGGCCACAUUGGGACUGAGACACGGCCCAAACUCCUACGGGAGGCAGCAGUAGGGAAUCUUCGGCAAUGGACGAAAGUCUGACCGAGCAACGCCGCGUGAGUGAAGAAGGUUUUCGGAUCGUAAAACUCUGUUGUUAGAGAAGAACAAGGAUGAGAGUAACUGUUCAUCCCUUGACGGUAUCUAACCAGAAAGCCACGGCUAACUACGUGCCAGCAGCCGCGGUAAUACGUAGGUGGCAAGCGUUGUCCGGAUUUAUUGGGCGUAAAGCGAGCGCAGGCGGUUUCUUAAGUCUGAUGUGAAAGCCCCCGGCUCAACCGGGGAGGGUCAUUGGAAACUGGGAGACUUGAGUGCAGAAGAGGAGAGUGGAAUUCCAUGUGUAGCGGUGAAAUGCGUAGAUAUAUGGAGGAACAC